rnacentral:rRNA from 1 species
UACGGAAGGCAGCAGUGGGGAAUAUUGCACAAUGGGCGAAAGCCUGAUGCAGCUAUGCCGCGUGUAUGAAGAAGGCCUUAGGGUUGUAAAGUACUUUCAUCGGGGAGGAAAAACAAAACUAAUAAUUUUAUUUCUUGACGUUACCCGAAAAAGAAGCACCGGCUAACUCCGUGCCAGCAGCCGCGGUAAUACGGAGGGUGCUAGCGUUAAUCAGAAUUACUGGGCGUAAAGAGCACGUAGGUGGUUUUUUUAAGUCAGAUGUGAAAUCCCUGGGCUUAACCUAGGAACUGCAUUUUGAAACUGAAAUACUAGAGUAUCGUAGAGGGAGGUAGAAUUCUAGGUGUAGCGGUGAAAUGCGUAGACAUCUGGAGGAAUACCUGUGGCGAAAGCGGCCUCCUAAACGAAUACUGACACUGAGGUGCGAAAGCGUGGGGAGCAAACAGGGAUUAGAUACC